rnacentral:lncRNA from 1 species
CAGUGACGAAGCAUGGUCAUCCUGAUGAUAACAGUCAUGCCACGCCACACUGGCUCUUCUCUGUGUGUGACUUCAUUAUCUGACAUCAUUAUACUGAGACACGUCCUGAAUGAGGACACAGAACUUUCACUGGUGAUGUGUGAAGAAUCAUAUGGAAGCCAAGCUAUAUGAAGACUGGAUCCAUUUCUGCACGAGAUCAUUUCUAUUUACCCUGAGCUGAUUGACAUGGAGAUACUUCCUUCCUUUCAUCUUGGGAAAUGGUGAACA